rnacentral:lncRNA from 1 species
AGUCACGUCGCCUUAACAACACAAUGGCCGAGCCUCCAGAAAAAGUCCCCGAGCCACAUCCGAGCGACAUAAAAGCCGCGAUCGGGCAAUUCGAACUCACGAGUUCCCAUGAGGGGCACCCUGCUGAGAAUGCCGGA